CAUAAUGUAUCUCAGUGAUAGAGUGCUUGCCUAGUAAAGGCAAGACCCUGGGUUCUAUUCCCAGCAUUGCAA
rnacentral:tRNA from 1 species